GAAAAAGAGGAGGAGAGAAAGGAAGGAAAAUAGAUUUAAGAGGCUAAGAGUAAAAAUUGGAGCUCAAGCUUGUUGAUUCUUUAAUCUCCAAUUUCAUUAAGGUGAUGACGUGAAAGCUUGA